rnacentral:rRNA from 1 species
GAUGAACGCUGGCGGCGUGCCUAAUACAUGCAAGUCGAGCGAACAGACGAGGAGCUUGCUCCUCUGACGUUAGCGGCGGACGGGUGAGUAACACGUGGAUAACCUACCUAUAAGACUGGGAUAACUUCGGGAAACCGGAGCUAAUACCGGAUAAUAUAUUGAGCCGCAUGGUUCAAUAGUUAAAGACGGUUUUGCUGUCACUUAUAGAUGGAUCCGCGCCGCAUUAGCUAGUUGGUAAGGUAACGGCUUACCAAGGCGACGAUGCGUAGCCGACCUGAGAGGGUGAUCGGCCACACUGGAACUGAGACACGGUCCAGACUCCUACGGGAGGCAGCAGUAGGGAAUCUUCCGCAAUGGGCGAAAGCCUGACGGAGCAACGCCGCGUGAGUGAUGAAGGUCUUCGGAUCGUAAAACUCUGUUAUUAGGGAAGAACAAAUGUGUAAGUAACUAUGCACGUCUUGACGGUACCUAAUCAGAAAGCCACGGCUAACUACGUG